UACGUAGGGUGCAAGCGUUGUCCGGAAUCACUGGGCGUAAAGCGCGCGCAGGCGGAUGUGUAAGUGUCUUGUGAAAUCCCACGGCUCAACCGUGGAACUGCUGGGCAUACUGGACAUCUCGAGGCACUCAGGGGCGAGCGGAACAAGUGGUGGAGCGGUGAAAUGCGUAGAUAUCACUUGGAACGCCAAUGGUGAAGACAGCUCGCUGGGGGUGUCCUGACGCUGAGGCGCGAAAGCCAGGGGAGCGAACGGG
rnacentral:rRNA from 1 species